ACCCUAUGUUUCAGAAACCCUAAUCUCCUUCGCCUCCAUCGUUCGUUCUUUCAUCAUCGGUCAUCGAUAUUAAAUCACCAUUCUUUUGUAAACCCUAACUUUCCUUCCCCUUCAUCAUGAAUCAUCAUUCUCUUCUCGAAUGGUUAAACAAACCAGAUAGUGUUUCCAUUUCCUCAUCGCAAUCCGAUUUCAAAUCUCAGAAACCCUAUGCAAUCCGAAGAUAUCUUUAGGAUUGUUGUCGAAGCCCUAGAUAUCGCAUACAAGCAUCAGGUGUACUCUUUCAUUUUCUGUUCUGGCUUUCAUAUGUUUUAGUUGUUGCAACAAGGGUUUAUAAGAAUUCAAGAUACAUUUGUUGUUUUGUAGUCUAGGGUUCCGGUGGUAGAACUCAAGCAGAUCGGUGGAAAUAAAGACGAGUUCCCAGGUGUAGAUGGUGGUUGAGGUAGGUCCCGACAAACAGAGCUGCAGAUCUAGGGUUUAACUUUCAUGUGUGGAUUUUUUAACUCUAAAGUUGCUUCUGUGGUUUGUUUCUAACUUUUUUUCAUUUGAGAAAUUUAUUUGGGUUUGUAGUUGUUAGGUAGCUGGAUUGUGUAUUUCUGUUGUUCUAGAUUCUGACAUCAUGAUGAUUGUUUGUUUGUUUAUUUAUUAAAAAAGUUGUUCUAAUGAAUUUAAU